CAGCAGCCGCGGGAAUACGUAGGUCCCGAGCGUUGUCCGGAUUUAUUGGGCGUAAAGCGCGCGCAGGCGGAUCGGUCAGUCUGUCUUAAAAGUUCGGGGCUUAACCCCGUGAUGGGAUGGAGACUGCCAAUCUAGAGUAUCGGAGAGGAAAGUGGAAUUCCUAGUGUAGCGGUGAAAUGCGUAGAUAUUAGGAAGAACACCAGUGGCGAAGGCGGCUUUCUGGACUGCAACUGACGCUGAGGCUCGAAAGCCAGGGGAGCGAACGGGAUUAGAUACCCCCGUAGUCCCUGUCUCUUAUACA
rnacentral:rRNA from 1 species